rnacentral:rRNA from 1 species
CCUACGGGAGGCAGCAGUGGGGAAUAUUGCUCAAUGGGCGCAAGCCUGACCCAGCAACGCCGCGUGAAGGAUGACUGCCCUCCGGGUUGUAAACUUCUUUUAUAAAGGACUAAAGUGACGCAAGUAUGCGUUUUUGCAUGUACUUUAUGAAUACGGAUAGGCUCAGUCCGUGCCAGCAGCCGCGGUAAUGCGGAGGAUGCGAGGGUUGUACGGAUUUAUUGGGUUUAAAGGGAGCGUAGGUGGGGUGUUAAGUCAGGUGUGAAAGUUUGCGGCUCAACCGGACAAUUGCAGUUGAGACUGGAGGUCUUGAUUACAGUAGAGGUAGGCGGAAUUCGUGGUGUAGCGGUGAAAUGCGUAGAUAUAACGAAGAACACCGGUGGCGAAGGCAGCUUACUAGUCUGUCACUGACACUGAGGCUCGAAAGUGUGGGUAGCAAACAGGAUUAGAUACCCGUGUAGUC